GACGAACGCUGGCGGCGUGCCUAAUACAUGCAAGUCGAGCGGACGGAUGGGAGCUUGCUCCCAGACCGUCAGCGGCGGACGGGUGAGUAACACGUGGGCAACCUGCCUGUAAGACUGGGAUAACUCCGGGAAACCGGGGCUAAUACCGGAUAACUCUUUCCCUCACAUGAGGGAAAGCUGAAAGAUGGCAUCUCGCUAUCACUUACAGAUAGGCCCGCGGCGCAUUAGCUAGUUGGUGAGGUAACGGCUCACCAAGGCGACGAUGCGUAGCCGACCUGAGAGGGUGAUCGGCCACACUGGGACUGAGACACGGCCCAGACUCCUACGGGAGGCAGCAGUAGGGAAUCUUCCGCAAUGGACGAAAGUCUGACGGAGCAACGCCGCGUGAGUGAUGAAGGUUUUCGGAUCGUAAAACUCUGUUGUCAGGGAAGAACAAGUACCGGAGUAACUGCCGGUACCUUGACGGUACCUGACCAGAAAGCCACGGCUAACUACGUG
rnacentral:rRNA from 1 species